rnacentral:rRNA from 1 species
AUGUCGUCGUCGUCGAAAUCGACGCGCUCCAGCAUUUCCCCUUUCCGAUCCCGCCGCUCGUCCGCGGUGGCGGCGCCCGCGGCGCCUCCAGCGACGAGGACCUCGUCGGGAGGCCGCGCGUCCACCCCAGCCUCCUCCGCGCGGCCCACCACCCCGUCGUCUUCCUCCGGUGGCCGCCCCACCACUCCCUCCGCCGCCUUCGCGCGCCCCGCCACCCCUACCUCCGCGCGGCCCACCACGCCUUCCUCUACCGCCUCCGCGCGGCCAACCACGCCUUCGUCGGUUUCCUCGCGAGCGACCGGGAGGGCGCCGUCCGCCGCGGCGGUGGACGCGUCCAAUGCCAAAGAGAACAUCAUGGUCACCGUCCGCUUCCGCCCCCUCAGUCCUAGAGAGAUCAACAAGGGGGACGAGGUGGCUUGGUAUGCUGAUGGUGACAACAUGGUGCGUAAUGAGUACAACCCGAGUAUCGCCUAUGCUUUUGAUAAAGUUUUUGGUCCAGCUACUACAACUCGCCGUGUAUAUGAUGUUGCUGCUCAGCAUGUUGUAAGUGGUGCCAUGGAAGGAAUCAAUGGAACUGUUUUUGCAUAUGGUGUCACUAGUAGCGGGAAAACUCAUACAAUGCAUGGAGAGCAAAAAUCGCCUGGAAUUAUCCCAUUGGCAGUGAAGGAUGUGUUCAGCAUUAUUCAAGAUACACCUGGACGAGAGUUUCUUCUGCGAGUGUCAUAUCUCGAAAUUUACAAUGAGGUUAUAAAUGAUUUACUUGAUCCGACAGGACAGAAUCUCAGAAUUCGAGAAGAUGCACAGGGAACCUAUGUGGAAGGGAUUAAAGAAGAGGUCGUUUUAUCACCUGCACACGCACUCUCUCUGAUAGCAUCUGGAGAAGAGCACAGACAUGUUGGAUCCAACAACUUCAAUCUUGUCAGUAGUCGGAGCCAUACUAUCUUCACAUUGACCAUUGAGAGCAGCCCCUCUGGUGAAACUGAAGAGGAAGAAGUCAGAUUGUGCCAAUUGAACUUAAUUGAUCUGGCUGGCUCUGAGAGUUCCAAGACUGAAACAACUGGAUUACGUCGUAAAGAAGGUUCAUACAUAAACAAAAGCCUGCUCACUCUUGGAACUGUUAUUGCUAAACUUACAGAUGGUAAGGCCACCCAUAUUCCCUAUAGAGAUUCAAAGCUCACACGCUUACUUCAGUACUCUCUGAGUGGGCAUGGGCGCAUUUCUCUUAUUUGCACAGUUACCCCUGCUUCCAGCAACACCGAAGAAACACAUAAUACAUUAAAAUUUGCCCACAGGAGCAAGCAUGUCGAGUUGAAAGCUUCUCAAAAUAAGAUAAUUGAUGAGAAGUCCUUGAUAAAGAAGUAUCAAAAGGAGAUAACAUGCUUGAAAGAAGAGCUGCAACAACUGAGACGUGGAAUGAUGGGAAAUGGGUACAUUCUUCCCACGGAUCAGGAGGAUCUUGUUAAUCUAAAACUUCAGCUUGAGGCUGGCCAAGUCAAACUCCAGUCAAGGUUAGAACAGGAAGAGGAAGCAAAAGCAGCAUUGAUGGGUAGAAUUCAGAGGUUAACAAAACUGAUACUGGUAUCAACCAAAAGUUCAAUAUCCUCAAAAGUUUCAGGACAGGCUAGCCUCCGCCGACGGCAUUCAUUUGGGGAAGAUGAGCUUGCUUAUUUACCUGAUCGUAAGCGGGAGUACUCCAUAGAGGAUGAUGAUAUUAGCCUUGAUUCAGAGUUUUCGAUUGAAGCAAAACUUGAUUCUAACAAUUCUGACGAGCCUGCUAGAUUUGAUAGAAGGAAUCGCAAACGUGGAAUGCUUGGUUGGUUCAAACUAAAGAAGUCAGAGCAAUUAUCUGGGCUAUCACCUAGUGCCGAUAGUGAUAGCACUGCUAGCGGCUCGCCUUCCUUCUCCAGAUCAUCACAACAAAAGCACCUAUUGCUUGACCUGAAGGAUGGUCGAAGGAAAUCUGUGACUAGGAAAGCAGACGAUUCAGCACUCGGUGAUUCUUUUCUGGAGAGGACUCAAGCUGGUGAUUUGUUUAGUGCCGCACCCAUAGUACGGCACCCUCUGCCGAGUGGAACAACUAUUGUGGAUCAAAUAGAUCUUCUCCAAGAGCAGGUCAAGAUGCUGGCUGGGGAAGUCGCAUUUUCUACAAGCUCACUCAAAAGGUUAUUAGAGCAAGCAGCCAACAGCCCUGAUGAUUCACAAUUUCAGGACCAAAUUGAGAGAUUGAAAAAUGAAAUCAGUGAAAAGAAAUCACAUAUACAUGUGUUAGAACAGCGCAUAAUGCAAUCACUGGAAACUACUGAUGACCCAGCUAUUAGGACUGAAAUGACCCAGACCUUUUCAAGGUUGAGCACGCAAUUGAGUGAGAUGACAUGUGAACUGGAGAUCAUGUCUGCAGAUAAUAAAAUUCUUCAAGAUCAGCUACAAACAAAGGUAUCAGAAAAUGCAGAACUCCAAGAAACAGUUGCACAAUUGAAGCGACAAAUCAGUAAUUUGUUGAAGGCCUCUAAGAGUGAGAAUAAUGUGGCCGAUACGCAGUUUAGUGAACCAUCAACGUCAAGAAGUUAUCCUAAGGAUCAGGCAGAUGAAUUCUCAAGUCAUGAGAACAUUCCCUCUAGAACAGCGGAAGAAAAUAAGGUGUCGCCAUUAAAAUCUCAAGUGCUCAUGCAGGCUGCAGAAAUUGAGAAUUUGAAGCAAGACAAGCUGAGGCUGACGGAAGAGAAAGAUGGGCUAGAAAUUCAGAGUCAAAAGCUGGCUGAAGAAUCGUACUAUGCUAAAGAAUUGGCAGCUGCCGCUGCAGUCGAACUAAAAAAUCUGGCAGAAGAAGUUACCAGGCUUUCUUACGAAAAUGCAAAGCUGGCUGCAGACUUUACUGCAGCCAAAGAGCUUACUGCAUCAGUCACAAGGGGCAAUGACACAAAACGCCGUGAUCAAGAUAAUGGAAUUUUGGUUGAGGAGAUGCAGAAAGAGUUGGUUGCUAGUUGCCAGCGAGAGGCUGCCUUAGAAGACACAUUAUCGCAAAAGGCCCGAAGGGAAAAUGAGCUUCUGAAGAUAAUUGAUGAUGCAAAGUGCCAUGAGCAUGAUUUGGAAAAUGAACUGGAAAACAUGUGGGCCCUUGUUUCAAAGAUAAAGAAAGAAAGCUCUCAGGAUGAUUUGUUCGAAUUUAAAUCAAAGCAAAACGGCUUUCAUUCAUCGAAGACUGAUACUGGUAGAAUCCUAAGUGAUAUGGAAGCUUCAGAUAAUUGGAAAUGGGAUGGCAUCAGUACUUUGGAAGAAGCCAAAGCUGCAUACAAUUUUGAAAGAAGGCGCUGCAAAGAGUUGGAAAACGCAAUGUCUAGAUUGAAGGGUGAAGAUAUCAGAGGCUUGGAGGUUAAAGUCCUUGAGGAGCUACAAAAUUUUCAUGUGGAAGCACUGUCGAGGAUUUGCCAAGAAAAGAUGGCAAAGCAGGUGCUAUAG